rnacentral:rRNA from 1 species
UACGUAGGGGGCAAGCGUUGUUCGGAAUUACUGGGCGUAAAGGGCGCGUAGGCGGCACAGCAAGUCGGGAGUGAAAGCCCGGGGCUCAACCCCGGAAUGGCUUUCGAAACUGCUGAGCUAGAGUACAGAAGGGGCAACCGGAAUUCCCAGUGUAGCGGUGAAAUGCGUAGAUAUUGGGAAGAACACCUGAGGCGAAGGCGGGUUGCUGGGCUGACACUGACGCUGAACUGCGAAAGCUAGGGGAGCGAACGGG